GGUUCCAGGUGACAACAGUUCCAACUCUGAUCAAAAUGAAGACAAAGAAGUCACAGAAAUAUUUUCAUUUCUGGGCAUGGGAAUUCUUGACUCUGUAGUGGACUAUAUUCUCAAUACAAUGUUCAAGAGCUCUGGAUAUAUGAAUUUGGGAGAAAAGUAAACAAUGACUUCAUGAAAUUGGCUGGAAAAAACAAUUCCUAGUCCUGCUUUCCAUGUCAGGAUCAAAUGGAGUGAAUGUGACAAGAAAAGAGGAAGGAAGAAAGUACCAAGCAUUUAUUAACUACCU